AUACUGGAGCUGAUAAAACAUUAAAGUAAUUAUUCCAAAUCAGUGCUGACUGCAAAAGCAAUAUUUCCAAAGCUCUAGCUUAUUUUCUGCGGUCUUUUAAUUCCCUUGAAAUAGCUUUCUUCAAGUUGAGCAGCAAUUUGGGACAAACAUUAUUCUAUUGCACAGAUUAUGGCAUCUUACUCUGGUUUACACACACAGAGCAAGGGCUUACACACCUGAAUUAAGAAUUAACUAGCAUGUGGGGACAGCAAUAGGGAUAGUCCUACCACAGACGAAACCAUGCGCUCUACACGUCCCUGGAUAAAAUGUGACAAGUUAGCCCUUGAAUUUGGGUCCCCAUGUCACCAAAUAGCUCUAUAUUUAAGUUGUGUUAAUGUGGUACGUUUCAGUGGCAUAAUGACCCAUUCUUAUCGAGGCCUUUGUUCCAUAUUUUAUUUGUGCCAAUCUUUCUUAGGUUAUGAGCCCUAAUAGUUUAUGGCAGCAGACAAGAGACUCAUUUCUAACCCAUUAAAUUCAAAUGGACUUUCUUCCACUGUCCAUUUCAUUUUUGGAGCUGUUAUAAACUACCGAAAACAUUUGACAGGAUCCCAUUGUGGAUCUGAUACACUUAAACAGUAAAAUGAUAUCUAAACAUCUGAAAGCCAAAGAAUAACCUAGUGCACGUGUUCAUUCAUUUGUAGAAUUUAAGCCAUUGUAUUAUAUUUUCCACUUGGAACCAUGCCUUUAGAUACAAAAGUGUAAAGUAAAAAGCAACAUUAUCAUGGGAUGUGAGACGGUAAUCCAAAAGUUGAAGACCAAUUUUUGUUAUCCAUAUUUUGGAAGUAUGGAUACUGUUUAUUUUAAUAUCACUUCUCUCAUGGGUCACUUUUCCUUAGAUAGGUAGGUAGGUAGAUAGAUAGAUAGAUAGAUGAUAGAUAGAUAGAUAGAUAGAUAGAUAGAUAGAUAGAUAGAUAAUAUAAUAUAUUUUCUUCUUUCUUAACCUAUGAGCAGAGACUUUGAUGAUGGAAAUUACUUUGUAACAUUCCCCAUGGAGCCUAGGAAAAACAAUAGAAAAAAAGCAUGAAAUCUUUUUCUCAUAGUGAAAUAGAGAAGAUUCUAAGAUUGGAAAUCUGUGUAUGUGGUGUUCUAUCCCAAAUAAAGAGAAUUUAGGGAAUUCAGGCAACAAUUUUUUUCCUAAUUGGAAACUUUGUUCUGAUCCUGAGAUGCCCACACACCCCACAGGAGACGCAGUGCUGGCCCACCACAGUGUUUGGAACACGGUCAGCAUUCAGGAAACACAUUCAAAAUCGUCUAACUGAAUUCCACUAUCCACUUGUGAAUGCAAACAAAAUUCAAAUUUCCCUGAAAAUUUAUUCAACUUCUAUAUGCCAAGCACACUGCUAAAGGCUUAUCUUCUAAGUAUAUGCAGGCAUACCCUACUCACACAAAUAGCUUAUUACCAGAGAUAGGAAAUUGCAGGUAAUUUGGGAGAAAUUGUCAUAGCCAAAUUUAUGGAAAAAAUAAAAUAAAAACUUCUCUAUGGCCUCUUGAUUUAAGAAAAAAACAGAACAAUACAAAAAAAAAAAAGCACUAAAACAGGAUUUAUCUGAGAAUGUCUUUCCAAAAGGGAAGAUGACACCAAUCUAUAUAAAACGUCAGUGGAUUUACUGAGAAUCCGAGUGGAAACUUUUAAAACCUUAAACAGACUCUCCUACAGCAAAUAGAUUCUCUAUGUGCAGCAUGAGGAAUCACUGCAUAGUUCUGCUCCACCAAUAAUAUGAUUGGUACAGCACCAAACCAUGGCAAAGUUAGAUGUUAAAGAACAUAAUGUUGCAAUAAUGAUGUUAUAUUGGAUCUUAUGCAUGAACAAAUGGAAAGUAAUAAUUUAUCAACUGUGAUCCAUGAUUAAAGGCCUCAUUAUCACUAAGAAAAUGAACUUAAUGAAAAAAAUUAUAAUGAGCAAUGACAAUAUUCCUAUAAAACCUCCCUCUGGGUAUCAAGAGACAUAUUACCUGCCAAGGCCAGAUUUUACUUUUUAAGGUUUCCUCUCUCUCACCAAAGACACUAGUGGGCACAGAGGUGACACUAGAGUUAGAAUGUUACCAGAGUCAUUUGCAUUAGACAGUUUAUCUGAUCAUGAACAUGUUCCCAGGGAGAUUAGAAAAAUGGGAAGCAGGCCUCUAAAGAUCCUCCUUGGACAUUUGUAAAAAGGCUGGCUGCUUCUCCAGGAAUGUCUGAAUUAAGCAAGAAUUGUGCCACUGAAAUAGCUUCUUGUUUUUAUAUUAAACAAGGAACGAUUGUGCAGUGGAUGACCUGGACUGAAAGAUGUAUGAUGGUCAAGUUUAAACAUAUUAAUUCCUGAUUGUUUUCUUAAAUACCCACCCUAGUCAUUUUUUGGAAAAUAUUGCCAGACAUAUUUGACAUGAAUUCAUGUUUAUUCUGGCUUCUGUUCCCAAGCAGAAGUGGAUUAACCCUGGCAAUGGCUGGCUUCACUAACUGUACUUGCACCCAGCCUGGGCUGCCAUCUGCUCAGCCAGGAGAAGCAGGGAGUGGGGUGUGGGCCCUUUAAGUUCGCUCAGGGCACACUCAUUCAGUCUCCCCUGAGGAGACCUUGUCCCCCUUUGUGGGGUGAAUGCUGGCUGUUGCAGGCCAGAGGCAGUGCCAACUGGAGACUCAUCCUCUCAGCUUUGGUCAGCUUCAGCCACGUAUUCUUCAUGAGUGCUGGCUUCUGAACCUGCAGGAUCAUUUCUCAGUCAGUUUAUGGUGCAGGGUAAUUCAUUUAAAAUAAAGCCCAUUAAAACCCCAUGGCUAUAGAAUGGGUUUUAAAUAGAUUGUCCUGGAGACACAUCAUUGUAUAGUCUUUGCUUCCCUCUCAUGACCUAUCUUGGAGUAGAAUUUGUGUACUACUGUCCUUGUCUUUGAGUGGGUAUAUGUGUGAUGGUACAGAAAUACAGUCACAUAUUAUAUUAAUAUAUAUAGAUGGAUAGGAAAAACCUACAGCCAUAGGUAUUGUCCAAUAACUGAUUCUAGAGGUAGAACUAUAGAGUAUACAUUUCCUUUUUUCUUGCUUUGAUGAUAUUUUUAUACAAUUUUAUAUGCUAUAAAAUUUUCAAAAAUAUAUUUGCUAUUUUCAUUUGUAGAGCUUGGUUAGGUUUUUAUCAGCUCUUGUGCCCACUGUACAACCAGAUUCCCCUCAUCUAAUUUAAAUGUCUUCCCUUUUUCAAACUCUCCUUUAUGUUUUCCUUUUUUUUUCCUCCCAUUUUUCUACCCUUCACAAAUUCCUUCUUUUGCUUCUGUCCAGGUAACCCAUUCUGCUUGCAGUAUCAUUUUAGCACGUACAAACACAAAAUAAUGGGAAAAAUAAAAGCACCUUGUUCCAUGCAAUUCGUAUGGGAAAGUUUUGGGUGUCAAAGGUCGCUGGGGAUAGAUGGGGAGGCAGAAAUAGCUUGGGAAAAGGAAGCAGGAAAAAAGGAAAUCUUUAUGGGAAAUCAAUUACCCAAAGCAAGGUGAGUCACCUAGAGGUGAAUAUGAUGUUGUUAUUGUCCUCCCUUAGUGUACAGCACAGUUUUUGCUCUCACAGGGUUUUUCUCUUUAGGAUGCGUAGCACCCUAUGCAUUAAAUACAUAGCAUCCUAAAGACACCCUACUCACCUUGAGUCUGUAGGCUCUUUCCUGAUGAGGGCACUGGCCAUAUAUGAAUGGAAAACUCAACUCAUCUCCUCAGCUUUAGAUGUUGCUGCUGUUCAGCUGGAUUUGUGAGAAAUAUCUGGAUUACUAUCAAGAACAUUUAGCAAGACUCAAAAGAGAGAGGCAAGCAGAACCAAAACCCAAACCUCAACCAAUGACUAGCUGAAUAAACAAUUCUUUGGAGGAAUAAGGAAGGUAUUUCUGGAUGUAUUCUGAGAAUGCUCUUCCAAAAGGGAAGAUGGUAAUAAUGGACUUGUUUUGAUUUCAUGGUUGUGAUAGAAUGUACUUCCAUGAUGUGAAAUACACUUCUGGCAGAUAAAAUGCAGGUUGUAAUUUGCAUUUGUACAUCACAGGGUAAAAGAAUGGCCAUCCAUUCUGAGGAAGAGUGUUCUGUUCUCUAAGAUGCUGCUUAACCAAUGUUAUCCAAAUGCCAUAGCAUCAUAUCUCCAAAUACAAGAUUAAAUCAUAAGGAUUCAUGUAAAACAGAGUAUACUGAGCUGUUCUCAGAAAAAUUAAUGAUGUGUUUAUUGUAAAUCUUUAUUGCACAGAUGAGCCUGACAGUCCUUCAAUGUAUAAUUUUCCCCCAGCAUCUAGUAAUGCAUAAGUACUUGUAUGUUCUUCUGAUUACCAAAUAAAAACAAUGAGUUAACCUCUU
rnacentral:lncRNA from 1 species